CCUGGUAUCGUCUAGUGGUUAGGACACCAGGUUCUGAUCCUCAGUGUGUCCUGGUGACCCCGGUUCAAACCCGGGUACCAGGU